AAAUCCUUGGCCAUUUUCGAUAAUAUCGGGUAGAUAUUUUCGUGUCUUCUCCACCAAUCAAACUAAGUACUGGUAUUGGAUUCUAUAGAUCAUUCUGCGAUUUAUUAAAGAAGUUAGCUUUAAAUAUUUGUUCAAAUUUUUGUACUGCCUCUGA
rnacentral:lncRNA from 1 species